rnacentral:ncRNA from 1 species
GUGUAGUAUGAAAGGAGAGACGUUUAGCACUCCCCUAGACAAGGAUGGACACAUAUAAACGGUAAGGCACUAGCCACCAAGGUGGCUACUUACCAAUUUUUUUU